UAUUCUUCAGAUUUGUCACUUCUUAGCGGAGCCACUUUCGUUAUUCUCUGCGGUAUCAAUUUUUAAAAUUUCUCAUUGGGAGAACUGGGCGUUUUUUUGAAACGCUGAGAAAGAGGUAGACACUUGGAAGGGCAAGUGAGGAGAUUGAAUUCUUCUCCGGAGGCCAAGGAUCCUGGCGUCUGCGUCAUUCAGCAACAAACUUUGAUCGUGGGGGCUCGUCUGGGAUUCUUCAGGACAAGCCUCUACACUGCUGUCCCAGAGCCUAGUCCACUUUAGGGUGAAAUAACCAACGUUAAGAGAGACCUUAUGAAUGGGUGAGUUAAGAGUUAUAGUCUCUGCCUUUUAUGGGGAAAAUGGAUACAGCACUGCCCUAAAAGUUAGGAGAUCUGAGUUCUGGUCUUGGAUUUUCUGGAAUCACC
ensembl:lncRNA